UACAGAGGGUGCGAGCGUUUAAUCGGAUUUACUGGGCGUAAAGCGUGUGUAGGUGGCUUCCUAAGUCGGUUGUGAAGUCCCUGGGCUCAACCUGGGAAUUGCAGUCGAUACUGGAAAGCUCGAGUUCGGUAGAGGACGGCGGAAUUCCCGGUGUAGCAGUGAAAUGCGUAGAUAUCGGGAGGAACAUCGAUGGCGAAAGCAACCGUCUGGGCCUGAACUGACACUGAGACACGAAAGCGUGGGGAGCAAACAGG
rnacentral:rRNA from 1 species